UUGAAGCCAACACUGGUCUCUCAGUAACCCUUUGGCCACUACCUAGCUUUUCAACAUCAGAUGAACUGAGGGGGCUUGCAUAGAUGAUAUCUGACCUCCUAACAAGACGUUUCAGUGUCUCUGCACAGCACUACUUCCCGGAAGACCUGUGUCGCCAUCCUGUCACCAGACAAGAUUUCUCGACUCAGUUUCCUGUCCCAUUAUAUGGAGAGGACUGCAGGGGGAGAAAAUCAGAAUGAAGAAAAACAGCAAGAAAACCCUGCAUUUUCUGAACACAAACAUGAAAAUGAAAAGAUCCUGAAAAAAAGGUUCUGGAAUGGGGGCUCAGAGGACUGCAUUCUGUCCCAGAUGCUUCUGCUGUCCACAUUGCAGCCAAUGGAAGAGGAAAAGAGCAUAUGAGGUUGUGUUCCAAACCUGGAAAUAGAACACAUGAAUCAUUUCUGCACAGUUGUCAUUGGCUGGAACACAGUCAUGUGACUCCAGCUAAAAGCAGAGGAGCUUGGGAAGUAUGAUACAGCUGUAUGCUCAAGAAGAGAUUAUCCUUUGAUAGAUGGUUAGCAGUUUCUGCUACCAUUGGUGACAUGUAAAAUCAACAUAUUUCACAUGUAACACUCCCACAUUGCAAUAUUUAACUAGAAUAAAAAGAUUUU